UCAAGCUAUGAAGAGUGCAUGGUGGAUGCCUAGGCGUUAAGAAGCGAUGAAGGUCGUGGUAGGCUGCGAUAUGCCUCGGGGAGCUGUCAAACAAGCUUUGAUCCGGGGAUCACCGAAUCGGGAAACCGGGCGUCACUGGGCAACCAGAUGGCGUCACCUGCGGCUGAAUGUAUAGGCCGUAUGGAGCAAACCCAGGGAACUGAAACAUCUCAGUACCUGGAGGAAAAGAAAUCAACCGAGACUCCGUCAGUAGCGGCGAGCGAAGGCGGAUCUAGCCCAAACCGUGGUGCUUGCACCGCGGGGUUGCGGGCCCUCGAGGAGUUACAAAGGCGUCGUUAGCGGAACGGUCUGGAAAGGCCGGACAUAGAGGGUGACAUCCCCGUACGCGAAAACGACAGCCCUCCGUUGAGAGGUGUCCCAGAGUAGCGCGAGGCUCGUGGAACCUUGCGUGAAGCCGGGGGGCCCACCCUCCAAGGCUAAGUAUUACUUAACGACCGAUAGUGAACUAGUAGGGCGACUGAAUGGUGAAAAGAACCGUUUCAAACGGAGUUAAAAGAACCUGAAACCAUGCACUUACAAAGCAGUGGUAGCACGAUACCGGGCAACCGGAACGUGUGGCCGCGUGCCUUUUGCAUAAUGAUCCGGCGAGUUAUGGUAUGUAGCCAGGUUAAUCCGUUCCGCGGAGGAGCCGAAGCGAAAGCGAGUCUGAAUAGGGCGACCAAGUUGCAUGCCAUAGACGCGAAACCAGGUGAUCUACUCAUGGCCAGGUUGAAGCUACCGUAAAAGGUGGCGGAGGACCGAACUCAUUAACGUUGAAAAGUUAUGGGAUGAGCUGUGAGGAGGAGUAAAAGUCUAAUCAAACCUGGAGAUAUCUCGUUCUCCCCGAAAUCGCUUUUGGGCUAGCCUCGAGAAACUACGUCAUGGGGGUAGAGCUACUGAAUGAGACGCGGGGGCCACCAGCCUACCGCCCUCAACCAAACUCCGAAUACCGUGACGACUAUCUCGGGAGUCAGUCUGUGGGGGAUAAGCUUCAUGGACAAAAGGGAAACAACCCGGACCGUCGGCUAAGGUCCCAAAAUCAUGCUAAGUGCGUAAGGAAGUCUUUUCUCUGAGACAGCGAGGAUGUUGGCUUAGAAGCAGCCACCAUUUAAAAAGUGCGUAAUAGCUUACUCAUCGAGAGAUUAGGCGCCGAUAAUGAACGGGACUAAGCAUGAUACCGAAGCCGCGGGUGCAACAUCGCUUCGGCGGUGUUGCGCGGUAGGGGAGCGUUGAUAGGCAGAUACAGGUCAUACCGUAAGGAGUGAUUGUGGGCCUAUCUAGUGAUUAUGCCGGAAUGAGUAACGAUAAUGGAGGUGAAAAUCCUCCACGCCGUAAACCUAAGGUUUCCUGGGGAAGGGAAAUCCGCCCAGGGUUAGGCGGGACCUAAGACGAGGCUGAAAGGCGUAGUCGAUGGACUGCAGGUUAAUAUUCCUGCCCUUCGUUGUGCGAUCAAUCCGUAAUGCGUGCUCUUUAAACGCAGCCCACCAUAAGACGUGAGGGUUGCCGAGAGGCCGAGGCCGAUUUGUUGCCGAAGUGCGAGGCGAGAGUACCAAGAAAAGUUGCGGUGGCAAACAGCGAAUCCGUACUAAAACUGACACAGGUAGGUGAGGCGAGUAGCCUCAGGCGCUCGAGAGAACCGUCCUUAAGGAACUAGGCAAUUUGACACCGUAACUUCGGGAAAAGGUGUCCCUACCCACUUCGGUGGGAGGGCUCAGAGAAUCGGCUCUGGCGACUGUUUAUCAAAAACACAGGUCUCUGCUAACACAUAAAGUGGACGUAUAGAGACUGACGCCUGCUCGGUGUGGGAAUGUUAAGGAAGUAGGUCAGGGGGCUUGCCCCUAAAGCUUGCAACCGAAGCACCCAUAAACGGCGGCCCUAACUAUGAGGGUCCUAAGGUAGCGAAAUUCCUUGUCGGGUAAGUUCCGACGCGCAUGAAUGGCGUAACGACUGGAGCACUGUCUCAAGGACGGACUCGGUGAAAUUGUAAUUGUGGUGAAGAUACCACAUACCCGCGGCAAGACGGAAAGACCCCAUGAACCUUUACUGUAGCCUGAUAUUGGUCACAGUCAUCACAUGCGUAGGAUAGGUGGGAGGCGAUGAUCCGGCUGUUCCGGCAGUCGGGGAGCCAACGUUGAAAUACCACCCUUGUGCUGUUUGUUCCCUAACUCCGACCCGUGAAUCCGGGCGGAGGACAGUGUUAGGUGGGCAGUUUGACUGGGGCGGUCUUCUCCCAAAAAGUAACGGAGAAGCGCAAAGGUCGGCUCAGCACGGUUGGCAAUCGUGCGACGAGUGCAAAGGCAUAAGCCGGCUUCACUGCGAGAUAUACACAUCAAGCAGAUACGAAAGUAGGCCUUAGUGAUCCGGUAGUCCCGUGUGGAAGGGCUAUCGCUCAACGGAUAAAAGGUACUCUGGGGAUAACAGGCUGAUGACUUCCGAGCGUUCAUAGCGGCGAAGUCGUUUGGCACCUCGAUGUCGGCCCAUCACAUCCUGGGGGUGAAGGCGCUCCCAAGGGUUCGGCUGUUCGCCGAUUAAAGUGGUACGCGAGCUGGGUUCAGACCGGCGCGAGCCAGGUCGGUCCCUAUCUGUCGUGGGUGUACGAAACUUGAGAGGAUGUCUCCUUAGUACGAGAGGAUUAGGAGGCACGUGCCGCUGGUGUACCGGCUGUCCCGCUCGGGGCACCGCCGGGUAGCUAUGCACGGAAAGGAUAACCGCUGAAUGCAUCUAAGCGGGAAGCCCCCCUCGAAACAAGGUUUCGAUGUCACUUCGGUGACUGUAGGCCCGUGAAAGACUAUCACGUCGAUAGGCGGGAGGUGUAAGCUCAGAGAUGAGUUUAGCUGACCCGUACUAAUGGCCGAACGCUUGACCAC
rnacentral:rRNA from 1 species